UACGGAGGGUGCAAGCGUUGCUCGGAAUUACUGGGCGUAAAGCGUGCGCAGGCGGUUAUGCAAGACAGAUGUGAAAUCCCCGGGCUUAACCUGGGAACUGCAUUUGUGACUGCAUAGCUAGAGUACGGUAGAGGGGGAUGGAAUUCCGCGUGUAGCAGUGAAAUGCGUAGAUAUGCGGAGGAACACCGAUGGCGAAGGCAGUCCCCUGGACCUGUACUGACGCUCAUGCACGAAAGCGUGGGGAGCAAACAGG
rnacentral:rRNA from 1 species